rnacentral:rRNA from 1 species
UACAGAGGGGGCAAGCGUUAUUCGGAAUUAUUGGGCGUAAAGGGCGCGUAGGCGGCUUGGCAAGUGGAUGGUGAAAUCCCUCGGCUUAACCGAGGAACUGCCGUCCAAACUGCUUGGCUUGAGACCGGGAGAGGUGAGUGGAAUUCCCAGUGUAGCGGUGAAAUGCGUAGAUAUUGGGAGGAACACCAGUGGCGAAGGCGGCUCACUGGACCGGUACUGACGCUGAUGCGCGAAAGCGUGGGGAGCAAACGGG